rnacentral:rRNA from 1 species
GAUGAACGCUGGCGGCGUGCCUAAUACAUGCAAGUCGAGCGAACGGACGAUAAGCUUGCUUCUCUGCUGUUAGCGGCUGACGGGUGAGUAACACGUGGAUAACCUACCUAUAAUACUUGGAUAACUUCGUGAAACCGGUGCUACUACCGGCUCAUAUUUUGAACCGCAUGGUUCAAAAGUUCAUGACGGUCUUGCUGUCACUUAUAGAUGGAUCCGCGCUGGAUUAGGUAGUUGGUAAGGUAACGGCUUACCAAGGCAACGAUGCAUAGCCGACCUGAGAGGAGGAAUAGCCAAAAUGGAACUGAAGAAAGGUCCAGAAUCCCAAGGGAAGGAAGAAGGAGGAAAAUUUCAGAAUGGGGGGAAGGCUGAACGAGGCAAACCGGGUGGGUGAAGAAGGGCUUCGGGUUGGAAAAACCUUUUGAUGAGGAAGAAAAACAGGUGUAAGAAACUGUGCAGAUCUGAAGGUACCCAAAUAAGAAGGACAGGCUAAAUUAGUG